rnacentral:rRNA from 1 species
GGGAAUAUUGGGCAAUGGGCGCAAGCCUGACCCAGCAACGCCGCGUGAGGGAAGAAGGCUUUCGGGUUGUAAACCUCUGUCCUUGGUGACGAAAAAAAUGACGGUAGCCAAGGAGGAAGCCCCGGCUAACUACGUGCCAGCAGCCGCGGUAAUACGUAGGGGGCGAGCGUUGUCCGGAAUUACUGGGCGUAAAGGGUGCGUAGGUGGCCUUUUAAGUUGGAUGUGAAAUACCCGGGCUUAACUUGGGGGGUGCAUCUAAUACUGGAGGGCUAGAGUGCAGGAGAGGAAAGCGGAAUUCCUAGUGUAGCGGUGAAAUGCGUAGAUAUUAGGAGGAACACCAGUGGCGAAGGCGGCUUUCUGGACUGUAACUGACACUGAGGCACGAAAGCGUGGGGAGCAAACAGGAUUAGAUACCCUGGUAGUCCACGCGGUAAACGAUGAAUACUAGGUGUAGGGGGUAUCAACUCCCCCUGUGCCGGAGCUAACGCAAUAAGUAUUCCGCCUGGGGAGUACGAC